rnacentral:tRNA from 1 species
AGUUUAUAAACUUUAAUAAGUUUACGUUUUGAAAACGUACCAUAGAAUUUUUCUAUAAGCUU